AUUGAACGCUGGCGGAAUGCUUUACACAUGCAAGUCGAACGGCAGCACGGACUUCGGUCUGGUGGCGAGUGGCGAACGGGUGAGUAACAUAUCGGAACGUAUCCAAUAAUGGGGAAUAACGAGUCGAAAGAUUCGCUAAUACCGCAUACGCCCUACGGGGGAAAGCUGGGGACCUUCGGGCCUGGCGUUAAUGGAGCGGCCGAUAUCUGAUUAGCUAGUUGGUGAGGUAAAGGCUCACCAAGGCGACGAUCAGUAGCUGGUUUGAGAGGACGGACAGCCAGACGUGAAGUAAGACACGGACCAGGCUCCGACGAGAGGCAGCAGGUGGGAAUUUUGGACNNUGGGCGCAAGCCUGNUCCAGCCAUUCCGCGUGAGGGAAGAAGGCCUUCGGGUUNUAAAGCUCUUUCGCAAGGGAAGAAAACUUAGCCACUAACAUNGGUUGAGGUUGACGGUAACUUGAUAAGAAGCACCGGCUAACUACGUGCCAGCCGCCGCCGUAACA
rnacentral:rRNA from 1 species